rnacentral:rRNA from 1 species
GACGAACGCUGGCGGCGUGCUUAACACAUGCAAGUCGAACGGAAAGGCCCUGCUUGCAGGGUGCUCGAGUGGCGAACGGGUGAGUAACACGUGGGUGAUCUGCCCCUUACUUUGGGAUAAGCCUGGGAAACUGGGUCUAAUACUGGAUAGGACCAUGCUGUAGGUGGUGUGGUGGAAAGAUUUUUUCGGUAAGGGAUGAGCUCGCGGCCUAUCAGCUUGUUGGUGGGGUAAUGGCCUACCAAGGCGUCGACGGGUAGCCGGCCUGAGAGGGUGGACGGCCACAUGGGGACUGAGAUACGGCCCAGACUCCUACGGGAGGCAGCAGUGGGGAAUAUUGCACAAUGGGCGCAAGCCUGAUGCAGCGACGCCGCGUGGGGGAUGACGGCCUUCGGGUUGUAAACUCCUUUCAGCCAUGACGAAGCCUCUUUUGGGGUGACGGUAGUGGUAGAAGAAGCACCGGCUAACUACGUG